CUAACCAGGAUUCCCCUAGUAACGGCGAGUGAAGAGGGAAAAGCCCAGCACCGAAGCCUGUGGCUAUUUGGCUACUAGGCAAUGUGGUGUUUAGGCCGAUUCGUGGGAUUGCCGCUCCACUCGAAGUCCAGCAUUGAGUAUGGUCACUGGAUUUGGCCCAGAGAGGGUGAUAGGCCCGUACGGGUGGAGUUUCAGACAUGUAAGGCAGUUCACCAGGUCGACCUUCGAGUCGGGUUGUUUGAGAAUGCAGCCCAAAGUGGGUGGUAAACUCCAUCCAAGGCUAAAUACAAGCACGAGUCCGAUAGCAAACAAGUACCGUGAGGGAAAGUUGAAAAGUACUUUGAAGAGAGAGUAAACAGUACGUGAAACCGCAUGCAGGUAAACGGGUGGCGUCAAGCUGCAAUCCUGGAGAAUUCAGCCGGCUAGUGUGUCGUGAAUGCGCCUGUGCAUCAUCAGUCGGUGUAAGAUGUGAUAGUCUACCGGGCAACGGUAGGCCGGGCCGCAAGGUUCGGUUAUGUGUACCGGGUGGAAGCCGGAGCAUGCUAUUCAUCUGUUGGACUGGCUAGCCGGUGCACUUUCUCUAUGGUGAACACCACGAUCGGUGGAAUUGCCAGUCUGCUGUAGUCAAGUCGUAUUCGAUGGGUUCUUGUAAUUCAUUGGGUGCGAUCACAGGCAAUGUCAGUACACGGCGUAGAGGUGUCUCCACAUCACUGCGUGUUAUCGGUUACUGCUUGUCAACGGGCCUGCCUAGUGGUUGUUGUAAUCGCCGCUGGGUGGCUUGGUGGACUACAGUGGUAAGAAUAACUGUGCAAGGCACCGGGGAUGUCGGCCUCAAUUGCACUCCGCAUACACAUUACAAGUGGUGUGGGGUGCCAUCGCUGCCUGCUUACUGUUGAGUCUGAUUGUCGUGUCGCCUGCACAAAGUAGGUCCGGCAGUGGCUUGAUGUAAGGUGGGUAGUUGGUGGUGCUCCGCGUGUAGAGUGUGGUGGGCCAAGUAAUCAGUGGUGCAGUGGUAGACGAGCUACCCGACCNGUCUUGANNCACGGACCAAGGAGUUCAACAUGUAUGCGAGUCAAUGGGUCCUACGAAACCCAAAGGCGCAGUGAAAGUAAAGCUUCGACAUGUUCUCGGAGUGAGGUGAGAUCCUGCCGUAUCGCAUCAGCCUAUCAGGCUAAGAGCGGUGGGCGCAUCACCGGCCCGUCCCAUGAUGUGGCCGCUGGC
rnacentral:rRNA from 1 species